rnacentral:rRNA from 1 species
AUGGAAGAUGGAACUAAUCCGCUUAUAGAUCAUUCAUCUCCUGUUACGACUUUGUUGCUCCCAGACACGACAUGGUUGCUUCCAGAUACGGUAUUGUUGCUCCCAGAUACUGUAUUGCGGCUCCCGGAUACCGUAUGGAAGCUCCCGGAUACAUUAUUGUCGUUUCCGGAUACGGCAUUGUUGUUGUCAGUUAUGACAUGCUUGUUCCCAGAUACGACAUGGUUGCUUCCAACUACGGUAUUGUCACUCCCGGUUACGAUAGUGUUGUUACUCCCUGACACACUGUUGUUGUUCCCAGAUAUGACAGUGUUGUCAUUCCCAGAAACAACAUUGGUGCUCCCAGAUCUGACGGUAUUGUUGGUCCCUGAUAUCGUAUUUGGUUGA